AACGAACGCUGGCGGCGUGGAUAAGACAUGCAAGUCGAACGGGAUUAUUUUUGUAGCAAUACAGAAAUAAUUCAGUGGCGAACGGGUGCGUAACACGUGGGCAAUCUGCCGAAAAGUGGGGGAUAGCUCGCCGAAAGGCGAAUUAAUACCGCAUGUGGUGAGGGACGACAUCUUCCUGAAUCCAAAGCCGGGGCAACCUGGCGCUUUUUGAGGAGCCCGCGGCCUAUCAGCUAG
rnacentral:rRNA from 1 species